UCUGCGAUGGCCGAGUGGUUAAGGCGUUGGACUCGAAAUCCAAUGGGAUAUUCCCCCGCAGGUUCGAAUCCUGUUUCGCAGCG
rnacentral:tRNA from 1 species